rnacentral:lncRNA from 1 species
UGAUUCUCAAGUCAGACCCCUGAAUCUUAACAGAAAGCAUCAUAUUUGACCUUUCAUGGAAGAUGUGCUUUAGCGAUUGUGAACAUCAUUAAGAACUAGAUGGAAGGCAGGCUACAUUUCCAUGCAGUACUGUACUUACUAAUUCAUUUUUAUCUGUAGAGCAGAGUUAAAGGCAUGCCAUUUAACUCACAUGCAUGAGGCAGUGUCUUUAUUGCACAGGCUUCCUAUGACAGGUAUUUUUAAGUAGCAAUCCUCAAGAAGAGUGACUUCUCUUUGUCUUGGAUGUAGUUCAGCAAGAUAACUAUGGUAAUAGCUACCCUAGAUCUUAUUGAUCAUCUCCCAGGCUCAAAAUGAAAUGCAGGGCUGUAAGCUGUGCUGUUAUCUAGCUGAACUACAUCCAAAGUGACCUUGA